rnacentral:rRNA from 1 species
GACGAACGCUGGCGGCGUGCUUAAUACAUGCAAGUCGAACGGAAAGGCCAUGCUCUUGUGGGGUGCACGAGUGGCGAACGGGUGAGUAACACGUGAGUAACAUGUCCUUGACUUUGGGAUAACUUCAGGAAAAAGGGGCUAAUACCGGAUAGGAGCUCCUGCUGCAUGGUGGGGGUUGGAAAGUUUCGGCGGUGGGGGAUGGAUUCGCGGCUUAUCAGCUUGUUGGUGGGGUAGUGGAUUACAAAGGCUUUGACGGGUAGGCGGCCUGGGAGGGUGACCGGCCACAUUGGGCCUGAGAGAGGGACCAGAAGCCUACGGGACGCAGCAGUGGGGAAUAUUGCACAGUGGGCGCAAGCCUGAGGCAGCAACGCCGCGUGCGGGAUACCCUCUUUCGGGUUGAAAACCGAUUUCGCCUGUGACGAAGCGUGAUUGACGGUAAUGGGUAAAGAAGCACCGGCUAACUACGUG